rnacentral:rRNA from 1 species
CCUACGGGGUGCUGCAGUGGGGAAUAUUGGACAAUGGGCGAAAGCCUGAUCCAGCCAUGCCGCGUGUGUGAAGAAGGCCUUCGGGUUGUAAAGCACUUUCAGUGGGGAAGAAAGCCUUGGGGCUAAUACCCUCGAGGAAGGACAUCACCCACAGAAGAAGCACCGGCUAACUCCGUGCCGGCAGCCGCGGUAAUACGGAGGGUGCGAGCGUUAAUCGGAAUUACUGGGCGUAAAGCGCGCGUAGGCGGUCUGAUAAGCCGGUUGUGAAAGCCCCGGGCUCAACCUGGGAACGGCAUCCGGAACUGUCAGGCUAGAGUGCAGGAGAGGAAGGUAGAAUUCCCGGGGUAGCGGUGAAAUGCGUAGAGAUCGGGAGGAAUACCAGUGGCGAAGGCGGCCUUCUGGACUGACACUGACGCUGAGGUGCGAAAGCGUGGGUAGCAAACAGGAUUAGAUACCCCAGUAGUC